AAAAAAAAAUCCAGGUCAGUUUUGAGAGCAAAAAGAGCUUGAGAAUGACUGAGUUAGCAUAUUUUUCCUAUUACACACUUUUUGUUUCAGCCCCUUUUCCCUUCUUUCAGCAAAUUGACCUCUUUUUAAAGAUGAAUCACUUUAGAGCAUGUAAAUCCUCUUAGAGCAUGUAAACACUGUAGCAGAGAUGGAGAGGAAUGUUCAAGUUGUUGCCAGUUGCCUAGGUUUUAUAAAUUGUAACUCAUGCUGUUGUCCAGUGUCCAAAAUGUUCAUAGUCACUUAUACUGUGGUGGUGAAGAGGGUGGUCUCUGACAUUUUGUUGGGUGAUUGAUCCCUCCAAUUCCUACCUGUGUGACUGUGAGCAAGCUGCUUAACCCCUCCAAGUCACAGUUUCCUGAUCUGUAGUAUGGGUAUGAUAACGUUUCUAGAAUAGAGAUCUUGUGAAGAUUAAAUGAGAUAACUCUUAUAAGAUGCCUCAACAGAGUAAGUGGUCUACACCUAUUAGCUAUUUUUAUUGCUUGCUAGUUCUUUGAAAUAAAAAACAAAGUGUUUUAAAAGUUUAUUUUGAGAGAGCGAGAGAGUACAAGGAGGGGAGGCGCAGAGAGAGACCAGAGAGAAUCCCAAGCAGGCUGUGCACUGUCAGCUUAAGACCUAAGAACUGUGAGAUCAUGAGGAGAGACGAAUUCAAGAGUCUGACGCUUAACAAGCUAAGCCACCCCGGUGCCCCUAAAUUUUUUUUUUUUUAAUUUGAGUAUAGUUGACACACAAUGUUACAUUAGUUUCAGGUGCACAGCAGAGCGAUUUGACAAGUUUAUACAUUGUGUUACAUUCACUACAAGUGUAACUACCGUCUGUCCUAUUGUUUACUAGUUCUUGAUUCAGAUUGGGGCAACAGAGAGGAAAAAUAAUGAUGAAGGAGUUUGCUCAUUUUUUGUAUGUGGGGAUCCCGAAGACCGGUGAUACUAGAGAGGCACUCUGGACCUGUCAGUUGGUGUUUGUUUAUUUCUCUGGCACAGGCAGAACGUGCAAAGUUCACUUUGUGCAUACUGUGGUUUGUGCACUCUGCGGAAGGAGCCCGACCACCAAGAGAAGUGCAUAUUCCUAAUCCGUUUUGAAGCAGGGAGGGGUGGAUUCCCCCGUUAUGGGAUUUCAUAGCGACUUACUUUUCCAGAAUGCCCUGAUAUUAUUUAUAACUUUAUUUGUUCCUCAUAAAAGGUAGGCUGGUGCAAUGACUUAGAUUUAAAUAAAGGCAGAGCUGAAGACAGCCCUCUGUUCACUGACUCGCUAGAAAAUCCGUCUCCACAGCGUUACCCAGGAACUUUUUCAAGUUAUGAGCAUUCUCAUCAUAGAGGAAACUAUGAAAAACAGAGCUACCCUGAGUGCCAUUGGUGAAAGCAGAGCAAGAACCAUCCUGAAAUGUCAGGUAUUGGUGAUGAAAAAUUGUUCUGUUUUGUUUUACAAUAGAGUUAUACUUUAGACAUGGCCUUUGUAAAUGAGCUCCCAGCGCCGGUGACUGGUGAAAUAGUUUUCCUCUGAAUCGUGAUUUUUCUGAGAGCAGACACUGAUACCCAGGGAUAUGCUUGUUCUUUAGCUUCUGACGCAGUGACAUGGUAUAGUUUAGUCUUGGACCGGAUCUUCCUUUUCCAUUUGCACGGGCCCACCGCCAUUGCUCCUUGGUUGUCUAUGAUCCGUGGGUACUCGCCUCGUGGGACAGUGAAACACCGUCCUCCAGAAGGCACCGGAGUUUAAAAGGUCGUAACAAUGUGUGAUGGAGUUUGUGUCCACGUGCUCGCACACUUCCUCGCUUUCCUAAAUAAAAUAUGCGGAGCCCAAUUUGAACACGUGCCAGGAAAGCCAGAAUCCUUGGAAACCGAGGGAGCGUGUGGCACGUGUGUGGAGGGUGGUCUUGGGGUUCAUUGGUUGGCACCCGUGGCAAGCCUGUGGCACAACUGGCCCCGCUUUGCUGAGGUUUGCUUUGACCAUCUGUCUGUCUGUUCCUUUUUCUGCUGCUGCCCAGUCCUGUUGCUCAGGUUGCUAACUGCGUGACUAUCUUUAGCAGUUUCUCCUUUCUAAUUUGCUCUUUUCGAUCACCUGUGGGUUUUUGAAGACAAGCGAGCAUUUUAGAGCAUAAAAUACAGGACGCUGGGCACCAAAUGAAGGCGCAGGAGGCCCUCCUACCUGCAAAACACUCGAGUUUCAGCAUCCACGACUUGUUACAUAUCUUUUGAUCAUGAGGCUUAUUUUCCCUUUUUCUGUUUCUCCUUCUGGCUUGUGAGUGUGUUUUGAAUAACAGUUCCCUGGGUUUUUGAGAGGGGCCGUGUUCCUGUAUUGCUGUCGCUUUGUGAGCUUUUGUUCACUGUCACUUUUUUUGUGUGGCUCUGUUAGAGAAGUUGUGGUUCUGUCUUGCGUUUUAGUUAAGUGUGUGUCUGAUGUAAGCUAUGGGUGCAGUAUUGGUGGAAUGAAUGAACGUUUCUCCUAUCCUGUGCCGUCUUAGAUUGUGAAUUCUUUCAACGGGGAGACCGUUUUAUUCGUCCCUGCGUCUCCUCAGCGCCAUGUACACGUUCCAGGUUUGCUGAGCGGCUGACUGAACAAAAUUGUUAGACUACACAGUACUGGUGGCCAUACAUAACUCCCAAAGAUUCCCAAACAUGUUUUUACUGUAGAACUUCAUCACUAACGGUAGAAAGAUAUAGGAGAUAGGAGUAGGUGGAGAAGCAUCACAAAUGGGAGUGUUGAUGGUAAAAAGAAAAAUGUUAAAUGCCUAUUAAGUACUAUUGAAUAUUCUAGAAAUAUUUCUCUUCUCUUCUCUUGAAUCGGAAGGGUGGGGAUGGUUGAGGCUGGAAAUUUGGGGAGCAGAAGGAGUCUGGACUUGAGCUAAAAGGGAGCAUGAAGUGGAAAUAGAUCUGACAGGUGGAGCCAUCCUGGGACAGGGUAGACUCCAGGUCCCAGAAGAGUCACUGUUAUGUCAUUCCAGCCCAUUUUUUUUCUUACCAUCUGUAGCUGCUAGAGAAUCGGAGGGUUUCACAAAUCAUUCUGUGUGAGUACUCGCUCUUUUUGGGAGUAACAGCUCUGUCUCAUUUCCUAGGGCUAUUGUACCAAACAAAUUAGCACACAUUUAGUGACUUAAAACAAUGUAAAUGUAUUACCUUAUAGACCUGUAGAUGAGAAGUAUAAUCUGAGUCUCGCUGGGCUCUAAUCAAGGCGUUGGUUGGGCUGCAUUCCUCUGUGGAGACUCUGAGGGCAAAUCUGUUUCUUUGCCUUUUCUAGCGUUCCAGACUUGUAGUCUCCUUCCAUUUUCAGAGGCAACAAUGGCGUAUCAAUUCUUUCACACAUAGUAUCAUUUAGGCACGAGUCUUCUACCUACCUCUUCCACAUUCAAAGGACACUUGUGUUUGCACAAGGUGUCCCCACCUACACAACCGACAUGAUGCCUUUAGAUCAAGGUGGGCGGAUGAGCAACUUUAAUUCCAGAGUGCCAUUUUGCCAUGUAAUGUUACGUAUCAUAGGUUCCGGGACUUAGGACACGAACAUCUUUGGGGAGCCAAUAUCCUAUCUGCCACCAUCACCAAACAAAAUCCAAAGAGCUGAAGGUAGAAGUUUGCGGAUCCCUCUUCUAGAAGGGACAGUGUUUGAAAUGCACAUCUCCUUGGCCUUGAGAUCUCAAUGCCUGCAGGUUACCUCUGUCCAAAACAAUGCUAUUGUUGGUGUCUACCAAAGGCCACCAGAUGAAAGUGAUUGGGGAUGGAGAGAUGUAGUGAAAGGGAGGACCUGGAUGUGAGUUAUUCUUUCUUACCUUUGUCUCCUCUUCUUUAAUCUCCAGUUGGCACUUGAGGAUGUUGAUGCGAAUGGCUGCUCUUUGAUGCUAGCACCAUGGAAUUUAGAUAUAAACAUUUGAUAAAAGCUAAAUUCCCAGUGUCCUCACAACCCUUUGAUGCCUCACCAGUAAGUGAAUGAGAUCCUUUGGUUCCAGGCAGGGAUGGUAAGUAGGGCGACUACUCCACUUUGCCUGAAGAAUUCUAUUAGAUUAGAUUUUAGGGCCAUCUCUUUUGGAAGUCCAUUGGUUAUUGUGGCUCAUUUUAAAUUCAAUAACCCAUCUCCCAGGCUGCCAAAAAGGAGGUAGGGUCUCUUGGGAUUGUUAACAGUGACCACGCAGAACCCCGGUGUGUGUGUCUUCAGGGAGACCACAAACAUUAUCUGUGAGAAUGAUAACAGCUCUUCUUUGGCGAGGAAGAACAAUUAGGGCUGCGUCUGCACUGGGCUCUCCACAUGUAUUUCCGAGCAGUCCUUACAAAAGUGCUAUGAAGUAGGUGUUUAUAUGACUUCUGUCCUUGUCUUCCUGUAGUCUAUUACUAACACAGCAGCCAGAGUGAUCCUAUUCAAAUAUGGGUCAGCUCAUGUCACUCCUCUGCUCAGAACCCUCCAGCAGCUUCCUGUCUCUCACAAUCAAAGCCAAAGCCCUUGCUAUAUCUUUCAAGUCCUGUGAUUUUUUUGCCUCCCCUUUACCUCUCUGACUUCAUCCUCACUCCCUCCAUGCGUGUUGCUCCAUAAACGACACUGGCCCUGUGCUUUUUUCUUGAAAAUCCUGCCUCAGGGUUUUCAUACUUUUUGUCCCUCCUGCUUGGAAUUGUCACUUCCAAAAUGGUCAUGUGGGUAGCAGCCCACUUUCUUCAGGUUUUUGCUUGAAAGUCACCUUCUCACCGAGGACUUCCCUAGCAAUCCUGACUAAAAUUUCACCAAACGUCUCUAUCAUCCAACAUUUCCUAACUUCCCUUCCAAACUUAACUUUUUAUUUUUUUGGCAUCUCUUUUGCUUACUUGCUUUGUUGAUUGAAAUGUAAGCCCCACAAAGGCAAGGAUUUUUCUCUGUUUUCUAACCAGGCACCCUACAAUCUCAUACCCAGCAACUAGGCAACUAGAACAGUACCUGGACCACAGGAAAUACACAGUAAGUAUUUACUGAAAGCUGAAUAAUUUUAGUCUUUCUUUUAAAAAAAUUUUUUUUACAUUUAUUUAUUUUUGAGAGACAGAGCAUGUGUGGGGGAGGGGCAGAGAGAGAGGGAGACACAGAAUCCGAAGCAGGCUCCAGGCUCUGAGCCAUCAGCACAGAGCCUGACAUGGGGCUUGAACUCAGGAACCGUGAGAUCAUGACCUGAGCUGAAGUCGGACGCUAAACUGACUGAGCCACUCAGGUGCCCCUGAAUAAUUUUAGUCAUCACAUAUUUAUUCAGCAUUUACUAAAAGCCAGGCAUUCUGCCUGACACUUGUAAAGCCAGAAUGAACCAGAAAGACAAGAUCUCUAACCUUAUAGAAUUUAAAAUCAAGGGGCACCUGGGUGUCUCAGUUGGUUAAGUGUCCGACUUCGGCCCAGGUCAUGAUCUCCUCCUGGUUUGUGAGUCUGAGCCCUGUGUCUGCACUGAUAGCUGAGAGCCUGGAGCCUGCUUCAGAUUCUGUGUCUCCCUCUCUCUCUCUGCCUCUCCCCCACUCGUGCUCUGUCUCAGUCUCUCAAAAACAAAUAAACGUUAAAAAAUUAAAAAAAAAA